GACGAACGCUGGCGGCGUGCUUAACACAUGCAAGUCGAACGGAAAGGCCCUGCUUUUGUGGGGUGCUCGAGUGGCGAACGGGUGAGUAACACGUGAGUAACCUGCCCUUGACUUUGGGAUAACUUCAGGAAACUGGGGCUAAUACCGGAUAGGAGCUCCUGCUGCAUGGUGGGGGUUGGAAAGUUUCGGCGGUUGGGGAUGGACUCGCGGCUUAUCAGCUUGUUGGUGGGGUAGUGGCUUACAAGGCUUUGACGGGUAGGCGGCCUGAGAGGGUGACCGGCCACAUUGGGACUGAGAUACGGCCCAGACUCCUACGGGAGGCAGCAGUGGGGAAUAUUGCACAAUGGGCGGAAGCCUGAUGCAGCAACGCCGCGUGCGGGAUGACGGCCUUCGGGUUGUAAACCGCUUUCGCCUGUGACGAAGCGUGAGUGACGGUAAUGGGUAAAGAAGCACCGGCUAACUACGUG
rnacentral:rRNA from 1 species